AAGGAAGUAUCAACCGUUUUGUUUUGACCAUGGUAAUUUGGGCACCCUAUCAAACAUCCACGUGAAGAUGAUGCCUGUGACAACUGGAUAUAGAAACUCUGAGAGUCAAAGCAAAGGUCAGAGCUAGAGACACGGGUUAGGGAGUCGUUGGCGUGCAGAUUAUAUUGAAGACCUUACGACUGGAUGAGAUCAUACACAGGAAAAAAUAUUGCUUGGGAUUAGAAGGCAGCUCAGGAAUGUGUCCCAAGGGCCUCCAGCAUUUACAGGUCUACCAGGGAGGAAGAGCCAGAGGAGCCAAAAGGAAGAGCCAAAGAGUUGGGAGAAAAACCAGGAGUAUGUGGCAUCAUGGAAGUCAAGGAGCUUUCAGAGCACAUUUUUUGCUCUAGUUUGUAUCCCUUAGACCAGGGAUCCUCAACCUCCCUAGGGGACCACACAGUAGGAUGUGAGCAGUGGGUGAGUGAGUGAAGCUUCCAUGUAUUUAUGGCCGCUCUCCAUCACUCACAUGACCACCCAAGCUCCGCCGUCAGAUCUGCAGCAGCAUUCGAUUCUCAUAGGAGCAAGAACCCUGUUGUGAACUGCACGUGUGAGGGAUCUAGGUUGCCAACUCCUUGUGAAACUCUAAUGCCUGAUGACCUGCAACUGUCUCCCAUCGCUCCCAGAUGGGCCCAUCUCCUUGCAGGAAAACAAGCUCAGGCUCCCACUGAUUCUACAUUAUGGUGAGUUGUAUAAUUAUUUCAUUACAUAUUACUAUGUAAUAAUAACAGAAAUAAAGUACACAAUAAAUGUAA